GGGGAGAGCUUGCUUUCCCGCUGACGACCGGCGAACGGGUGCGUAACACGUAUGCAACCUACCCUUCACAGGAGGACAGCCCCGAGAAAUCGGGAUUAAUACUCCAUAACAUCACGGAUUCGCAUGUUUCUGUGAUCAAAGUUCCGGCGGUGAAGGAUGGGCAUGCGGCCUAUUAGUUUGUUGGUGAGGUAACGGCUCACCAAGACUACGAUAGGUAGGGGGUCUGAGAGGAUGAUCCCCCACACUGGUACUGAGACACGGACCAGACUCCUACGGGAGGCAGCAGUGAGGAAUAUUGGUCAAUGGACGAAAGUCUGAACCAGCCAUGCCGCGUGCAGGAAGACUGCCCUACGGGUUGUAAACUGCUUUUAUGUGGGAAUAAACCCCUGGAUUCUUCCGGGGCUGAAGGUACCACACGAAUAAGGAUCGGCUAACUCCGUGCCAGCAGCCGCGGUAAUACGGAGGAUCCAAGCGUUAUCCGGAUUUAUUGGGUUUAAAGGGUCCGUAGGCGGGACAUUAAGUCAGUGGUGAAAGCCUUCAGCUUAACUGGAGAAUUGCCAUUGAUACUGAUGUUCUUGAGUACACCUGAAGUGGGCGGAAUGUGUCAUGUAGCGGUGAGAUGCAUAGAUAUGACACAGAACACCGAUUGCGAAGGCAGCUCACUAAAGUGUAACUGACGCUGAGGGACGAAAGCGUGGGGAGCGAACAGGAUUAGAUACCCUGGUAGUCCACGCCGUAAACGAUGAUCACUCGAUAUUGGCUUCGGUCAGUGUCCAAGCGAAAGUGAUAAGUGAUCCACCUGGGGAGUACGCCGGCAACGGUGAAACUCAAAGGAAUUGACGGGGGCCCGCACAAGCGGUGGAGCAUGUGGUUUAAUUCGAUGAUACGCGAGGAACCUUACCAGGGCUUAAAUGCAGAACGACCGGCGUGGAAACAUGCCUUUCUUCGGACGGACUGCA
rnacentral:rRNA from 1 species